rnacentral:rRNA from 1 species
UCCUGCUCAAUGAUAACAUUAAAUAGCCGCAGAUUCCUGUGCUAAGGUAGCAUAAUCAUUUGUUUUUUAAUUAAAAACUAGAAUGAAAGGUUUAACAAUUAAUUUCUUUAUUUAUUUUAAUAAUUUAAUUUAUACUAAAUAUAAAAAUAUAUUUYUAUAAAAAAAAGACGACAAGACCCUAUUGAACUUUACUUAAAUGUUAAGCUGGGGCAGCUAAUUAAUUAUAAUUUUAAUUUUUUUACAAAAAUGACCCAAUUUAAUUGAUUAUUUAAUCAAGUUACCAUAGGGAUAACAGCGUGAUAUUCUUUUUAAGUUCUUAUUUAAAAGAAACUUUGCGACCUCGAUGUUGAAUUAUUUAUCUUUAUAAAGCAAAAUUUAUAUAAAGAAGGUCUGNUCGACCUUUAAAAUUUUACA